GGAGAGCAGAAUAGGCAGAAAUCUAGAUGGUAUAGUUUGAGGGGUGCCGAGAAGGUCCUGCGGCCCCAAGUUUGUCAUGGAGUCCUUCCUUUGAAUCUCAUGCCUCCUCCUUUUUAGGUAUAAUCACUUACAACACAUUUUACUCUGAAUUAGUAUAUCCAUUUAUUCAACCAAGCAUUUAAAAAAAAGUUUCUUCUAAGCAAAAGGCAUCGUGUCUACAAGUUAGCUUUCCUCCAUGCUGAGAGCGAGAUACUGAAGGACUAGGAGACUUGAUUGGGGCUUGUGAUGAGUGAAAAGCAUAAUUCUGAACACGGGGCACUGACCAAGGAAGGGAGCCUUUAAUACAGCGUCACAGUAAGGAGAUUCUCAGGAGCCCGUGUCUGAAGAAGGAGAAAAGAACCCAAGGAAAUGGGAGGUAGGGAGAUACCAAAGUUCCUGCUGCCCUUCAGUUACAUUUUCCCCACCUAACUGUUUUCACCAGGUCAGCUUUGAUCCCAGGAUCUCGCUUCCUUCACGGUCUCUGGGAGAGAAAGCCAAGGGUAAACCUGAAGCUGCUGAGAUCAGAAAUUCAAGAAUAGGGGAGGCAGGUGGGAUUAGAAUGCAGAGAAAGCCGAGGUUUCCAUCUUUUGGUCUAUUUCGUUCUGUGCCGGGGAGAGGAUGCGUGUGGCGACUAGAUUGUAGCCAUGAUUACCCGGAAGUCCAGAUAUAAGUAUUUAAAAAAAAAAAAAAACUCUUCCUAAUAUAUAGGCUCAUUAUACCCAUUGUUCCUGGUUCUGACUCCUAAAUCUGGAAUGAAUAAGUAUCAUCUCUUCUUUUCAUGAAAGCUAUUUGUAUAUUUAAAUACAACUCUCAUAAUUCUCUGGUUUUAUUUUUUUUCCAGGUUAAACAUUCCCUGUUUUUUCAGCUGUUUUUCAAAUUACAUAGUUUCCAAGACCCAUCACUAUUUUGGUUAUCCUCUUCUGGUCACACUCCAGUUUGUUAAUAUCCUUCUCAAAAUGUGGUGCCCAGAACUGAAUUCAGAUGUGGCCAAACCACCUCUGAGUACAGAGGGAAUAUUGCCUCCCUUGGUAUAUACAUUAUAUUCCUUUUGAUAUAGCUUAAGAUGGUGUAACAACUGCACCACACUGUCGACUCAUAUUGGGUUUGUGGUAAAGUAGAACCCCCAGGUCUUUUUCCAUAGACUGCUAUUAAAUCACAUCUUUUUCAUACUGUAUUUGUACAAUUUAAAAAACACUUAAAUUUGGGCUUUACAUUUAUUCCUGCUGAAGUUAAUUUUAUUUAUUCCAGCCCAACAAAAUCUUCUGAAUUCUGUUUUGUUAACCAGUGUCUUAAUGCUCUCUUCCAUCUGUGCCUAAAGUCGUGGCCUUCAAUUGGACAAUAAAUGGAGAAUACCAUUAAGGUCCCA
rnacentral:lncRNA from 1 species